CAGCCGCCGCGGUAAUACGGAGGGUGCGAGCGUUAAUCGGAAUAACUGGGCGUAAAGGGCACGCAGGCGGUGACUUAAGUGAGGUGUGAGAGCCCCGGGCUUAACCUGGGAAUUGCAUUUCAUACUGGGUCGCUAGAGUACUUUAGGGAGGGGUAGAAUUCCACGUGUAGCGGUGAAAUGCGUAGAGAUGUGGAGGAAUACCGAAGGCGAAGGCGGCCCCUUGGGAAUGUACUGACGCUCAUGUGCGAAAGCGUGGGGAGCAAACAGGAUUAGAUACCCCCGUAGUCCCUGUCUCUUAUAC
rnacentral:rRNA from 1 species